rnacentral:rRNA from 1 species
UGGGGAAUAUUGGACAAUGGGCGCAAGCCUGAUCCAGCCAUGCCGCGUGAGUGAUGAAGGCCCUAGGGUUGUAAAGCUCUUUCACCGGUGAAGAUAAUGACGGUAACCGGAGAAGAAGCCCCGGCUAACUUCGUGCCGGCAGCCGCGGUAAUACGAAGGGGGCUAGCGUUGUUCGGAUUUACUGGGCGUAAAGCGCACGUAGGCGGACUUUUAAGUCAGGGGUGAAAUCCCGGGGCUCAACCCCGGAACUGCCUUUGAUACUGGAAGUCUUGAGUAUGGUAGAGGUGAGUGGAAUUCCGAGUGUAGAGGUGAAAUUCGUAGAUAUUCGGAGGAACACCAGUGGCGAAGGCGGCUCACUGGACCAUUACUGACGCUGAGGUGCGAAAGCGUGGGGAGCAAACAGG